ACAGGUCUCGCGGUCGUGUUUUCACUGUAAAACCUCUCCUCCUGGGUCUGAGCCUGUGUUUGGUCUUCCAGGGGCGCGGCGGGAAUGUGCUUUGGUUGCAGACCUGAAGCCGGGGCAGGUGUGUGCGUGUCACCUGUGUGAACGGCGUGGGGCAGGGGCAUCUGGGGGCCCCACCAUCCAGCUGCCAAGUGGAGGGGGUACCGCAGAUACUCGGUCCGGGCGUGUGUUCGUCUGUCGUGUUAGGUGCUCGCCCAUAUUUGAAAUCCCCAUAGACUCAGGGUUUCUGCUGUUACUCAGGUUGGGAGCAGUGCACAAACCCAGUUGUCCGGGCUACACAUAGAGGGUUAAGGGGUCGCCGAAACCAGCUUUCCCAGAGGAACCUGGUAGAAGACGGAGCUAAUUUGCAAGGAGGCUGGAAACAAUCCCAGUGUCCUCGUGACAGGCCCUGCCCUGAGCUGAUGCGCGCCUGCUCCUCCCUGGACUCUGAGCCUCUGGGGGCCGUGGGGAGCUCCAGGAACACCUGUCAGCUGCACACAGCAGGUGUGGUGAAAGGGGUUCUGUCGAAUGACCGUCUGGAAAAGCCCCCUCUCGUGAGGUCUGCCAGACUCACAGCUCCUCUAAGUCGCAGGCCACGCCGUCUGCAAAAUGCCUCCCCAGACGGAGGUGUGUACUUCCCACCAGCAUCAAUAGCAAAUCACGUGUACGCUUCAAGCGCUAGGGUCCAGUUUUGCGUCAAACGGCCGGAGGAGAUCUUGGGCUUGGUCUUAGUUUUUGGCCUCCUGUCAUCUCUGCCGAUCUGGAGCCGGGAGGAGUUGUAAGACUUCUUGACCAAAAUGGGGAAGCACGUUACUCAGAACCGAAACUCCUGCUUAGGACCCUCGGAAGCGCCCCGGCCGCAGCGUGAUGACCCCGGUACGCCAGGUUGGUCGGCAGCUGCUCAGGGUGGCCCUCAGCGGCAGACUGAGCCAGGUGCUGGCCAUCACGCCCUCAAGUAGUGACAGUCAGGCACAGGGGGCAUGCCCUCCUUGGGACAGGAGCAGAACUGGCCGCACAUCUUACAGGGUUCCUUUUUGCCACGGCGCCACACCGAGGAGGCUCAUCUUCUCUCCUGAGGAGGCAGAGGGCUGGAGGGAGCCGCGGGGAGCUCUGCAAGCCGCGGGCUCUGUGCCAGCCUCAGUCCACGCAAACCUCCGACCCGCCUCCCACCCACAGGAAGGCAGCCUGCAGCGGUCAGGUGGUUCCGAGGGCGAACUGUCAUCCCUCUCUGUCCAGUGACCUCCGUUUGAAAUUCCAGCUCCUGGCUGAGCCUCCUCUCCGCGGAAGGAAGCGGCAGUGACAUCCACGCGAGCGGGACGAAUGAGCUCCCAUUUCUGCUCCUUCCCGGGCUGUCAGCCGCAAGGCAUGGAUCUGGUCCUGCGCGCUCCUCACGGCCCCGCCCUGACUCCGGGGGGCGCUGGGGAGCCGCGGGGCUGGGUCUCUGCCAGCGCUGUCCUGGGUCCCUGGGACCCUGGGCUCGACUUCUGAGCCUCUCCUGCCAUCGCGGGUCCAGGCGUCACUCCCACAGGCAGCAGGGGCGCUGCGAGGGCUCCGCGGGAGGACAGGGCCAUAUGUUCCAGAAAAGCCUCUCCAGACAGGCUGAGUCUGGACCUGGGGAGAUCAGAUGGUGCGUAAGGGGAUUUGGCUUUGGCCGGUUUUUCAUGUUUAUUUUCCUCCACGAGGCUCCAAAUAAAGACAUUAAAGCUUGGCGUCUGCUGAUCCUCCUUCCACGAGACGCUUAAAUUUUAAUGAGGAGGCAGGGAGAUUUUUGAUUUUUUCUUUUAAAAGAAUUGAUGCACUUUAAAAGCCUUUUGUUAUGAAACAAGUUAAACAUGCUCAAAAGUGGAAAGAUUAAAUCAUAGACACUAAAUCAGUGGCCGUCACACACGGCCUCAGCCUCAGCGGCUACUCGCAUGGUGGCCACGAGUCACCCACCACUGGAGGGCGGAUAUCGUGGAAGGAUGUGUCCAUUCUUCCCCGGUGGAAGCUGGGUUUCCCUCUUCUGAAAGUUCCCGGUGUGGCUCGGUGGGUUAAGAACCCGAAAUAGUGUCCAUAAGGAGGCGGGUUCGAUCCCUGGCCUCUCUCUUAAGGAUCUGGUGUUGCUGCAAGCGCAGUGUAGGUCACAGAUGGGGGUCAGACUCAGUGGCUGUGGCUGUGGCAGGGACCUGCAGCUGCAGCUCCAGUUUGACUCCUGGUCCGGGAACUUCCAUAUGCCACGGGUGUGGCUGUAAAAGAAAAACAAACAAAUAAAUAAAGCGCCUACGUGUUAAAGAUGAAAACAGACUCACUGUCCAUCCCUUGCACCAAUAUUAUGUUAGAUUCGUUGUCGGAGCUUUCGGUCAGGUCUGAAAUCUGGGACCGCAAUGUCUCCAGCGUCUUCCUUCUUCUGGAGUGUCUGAUAUUCUCUGCCCUUCGCCUUUCUGGCAUAGAAUGCAUUCGUCGGUUUGCACACCCGCAGAAAUCCCUGUGAGGGUGCUGAUGGGGGGCCCCGUGUGCCUUUCGCUCAUCAUGUAGCACCCACCUGGUAGUGCAUCGGCCUCGUCUCUUUGAGUCUGAGUGACAGUCCACGCUAGUCCGAACCACCAUUUGUUUAUCAGUUGAUGGAUGUUUGGGCUGUUUCCCCUUGGGGGCUGUUGUGCUGAGCUGCUGUGAACACGAGGGCACACGCUUUUGCACAGACCCUCUCGUUUCUCUUGGGUAAAAACCUGGGUGGCCUCCGUGCUGAGCGUUUUGAGGACCUGCCAGGCUGGCUUCCCAGGGGUCUCCCCUUCACGCGUUUGCACCAGCCAUGAAUCAGGUUGUGACACGCAUCUCUGUGCUCCCACAGCCGUCGUUACCUUCUCUUUUCUGCUUGGAGCCGUCCUAGCGGGUAAAGCGUGUGUCCGCGGUUUCCAUUCGCGCCUUUCAGUGACUGGGAUGCCCAGCAUUUGGCCCGUGCUCGCCGGCCGUGUGUAUCUCCUUUGGAGAAAUGCCAGGUUGUUUGACUCCAUUUGGGGACGAGUCCUUUAUAGGUUCUGAACACUAGAGCCUUGUCGUCUAUACCAGUUGCAAAUGUGGUUUCACAUCCUGGGGGUGGACUUUUCACUUUCUGUUUUUCUUUUUUCUUCAGGGCUGCACCUGCAGCAUGUGGAAGUUCCCAGGCUAGGGAUCGAAUGGAGCUACAGCUGCCGGCCUGCACCACAGCCACAGCAACGCCAGAAACCAAGCCAUGUCUGCCACCUACACCACAGCUCACGGCAACGCCGUCAGAUCCUUAACCCCCUGAGCGGGGCCAGGAUUGCACCCUGAAACCUCAGGGUUCCUAGUCGGAUCCGCUUCCGCUGCGCCACGGCGGGAACUCCGUCUUUUCACUUUCUGACAGUGUCCUUUGGUGCCCCAGAGUUUUUAAUUUUGGUGAAGUUGAAAUUAUCAGUUUUUUCUUUUCUUGCCUGCGGUGUCAUAUUUAAGAAGUUGCUGCUUAAUCCAGCUUUAACGAGGAUUUAACCUGUGUGAUGUCUGGAUUUUUAUCCCUCGUGUGGCAGUGCCUGUCUGCUCCUUUUUCACUCUCAGUCUCGCUAGGAAUUUUUCAAUUUUAUCGGUCUUUCCAAUGAACUUUCAAGUUUUCGAUUCUAUUACUUUUUGUCUGUUUUUAUUAUACUUUCUUUUCUGCUACUUUUGGUAUGAUUGGUAUUUUUUCAAUUUUUUAAGUUUUUAAUUUUUAUUUUUUUGGCUGAGCCCAUGGUAUGUGAAAGUUCCUGGGCCAGGGAUCAAACCUGCACCACAGCAGAGACCUACACCACAGCUGUGGCAACACUGGAUCUUUUUAACCCACCGUGCUGGGCCAGGAUCGAACCCACACUGCCACAGAGACAACGCCAGAUCCUUAACCCAAUGCACUAUGGCGGGAACUCCAACAAUACUCUUUUCUAAAGUAUGUUUUAUACCUAUAAAUGUUCCUCUAGGCACUUUGUCAUCUGUACAUCAAAAGAUUUGGUAGGUUGUAUCUUCAUUACCAUUUGGUUAAAGUGUAUUUUCAUUUUCUUUGUGACUUUUUUCUUCUUGAGAUUUACUUAGAAAUAAGUUGAUUAAUUUGUAAAAAUCUGGAACAUUUUAAUUAUGCUUUUAUUAAUUUCUUGCUUGAUCUUCCUGUGGUUACAGAAUAUAUUAAAUCAUUUAAAAUGUAUUGAGUUACUUUGUGGCCCAUAAUAUAAACCAUUCUUGUAAAUAUUCUAUAUAAAUUUGAAAAGUUAGGUCCACUUUUUAAAUUGCAUUUUUCACAUUUGUAUAUCGUUACUGAUUUUUUUCUUUGUUCAUUUUAACUUUUAUUAAGAAAAUUGUUUUGGAGUUCGCAUCAUGGCUCAGCUGUUAAUGAAUCUGACUAGCAUUCAUGAGGAUGCAGGUUCUAUUCCUGGCCUUGCUCAGUGGCUUAAGGACCCGGUGUUGCCAUGAGCUGUGGUGUAGGUUGCAGAUGUGGCUUGGAUCUGGCGUUGCUGUGUCUGUGGUGUAGGCCGGAGGCUACAGCUUUGAUUCGACACCCUAGCCUGGGAACUUCCAUAUGCCUUGGGUGUGGCCCUAAAAAGCAAAAAGAAAAGAAAAAGAAAAAAGGAAAUUGUUUAAGAUUUCUCUCUGUGAUUUUUCUUUUUCGUUAGUUUUCAGCUUUUAACUUCUAUGUUUGAAUUUGUUUAUUAGGCACAUAUACAUUUAAGAGUUAAUCUUCCUAUUAAGUUACACUUUUUUUAUUUUAAAAAGCCUCUAUUUCUAAAAAUACCCACUGCCUUAAAGUCUGCUCUAUUUAAGUUGUGCUAUGCCAGAUAUUUUUUGGUUAAUGUUUUCUUUUUUUUUUUUAAUUUUAAAUGAUUUUUAUUUUGUCCGUUAUAGCUGGUUUACAGUGUUCUGUCAAUUUGGUUAAUGUUUUCAAUGUAUAUCUUUUUCAAUUUUUUUUACUUUGAACUUUCUGUAUUUUUACAUUUAAAACAUGUUUUUUGUAAGCAACAUGUGCUUGGAUUUUAAAAGAUGAGUUAGGGAGUUCCCACCGUGGCACAGUGGAAACAAAUCCGAAUAGGAACGAUGAAGUUUCGGGUUCCAUCCCAGGCCACACUCAGUGGGUUAAGGAUCCGGCAUUGCUAUGAGCUGUGGUGUAGGUCGCAGAGGCAACUCGGAUCUGGCGUUGCUGUGGCUGUGGUGCAGCUCUGAUUAGACCCCUAGCCUGGGAACCUCCAUAUGUCGUGGGU
rnacentral:lncRNA from 1 species